AGUGAACGCUGGCGGCAGGCCUAACACAUGCAAGUCGAGCGGCAGCGCGGGGGCAACCCUGGCGGCGAGCGGCGGACGGGUGAGGAAUACAUCGGAAUCUACCCAGUCGUGGGGGAUAACGUAGGGAAACUUACGCUAAUACCGCAUACGACCUGAGGGUGAAAGCAGGGGACCGCAAGGCCUUGCGCGAUUGGAUGAGCCGAUGUCCGAUUAGCUAGUUGGCGGGGUAAAAGCCCACCAAGGCGACGAUCGGUAGCUGGUCUGAGAGGAUGAUCAGCCACACUGGAACUGAGACACGGUCCAGACUCCUACGGGAGGCAGCAGUGGGGAAUAUUGGACAAUGGGCGCAAGCCUGAUCCAGCCAUGCCGCGUGUGUGAAGAAGGCCUUCGGGUUGUAAAGCACUUUUGUCCGGAAAGAAAUCCUGUCGGUUAAUACCUGGCGGGGAUGACGGUACCGGAAGAAUAAGCACCGGCUAACUUCGUGCCAGCAGCCGCCGUAACAC
rnacentral:rRNA from 1 species